GUUUAAUUAGCUAGGCCUGAAGUCAUCCACUAAGAAACAAAAGAUAAGGCAUAAAUAUAAAAAAGGCAUAAUUAUUAUGCUUUAGUUGCCACCUAGUAGCCUUAUUGUAGCUUAGGCGUGAUAGCAAACAAUUACAGAAGUUAAGAGGUGUAAGAAGGAACAACUUUCCAGAGCCAAUUGAUAUAUCGAGAUGGUAGCGGCGAAAUUGGCCAAAGCGAAUAGAGCAAAAGACGAGGCUUUGCAGUAGAAUGAUGAGAUUAAGAAUCAAUUGGAUGAUUUCGCUCUGGAGAAGGAUGGGUUCAAGGCUGAGAUUGGGAAUUCCACGCAUAUGCUCAUGUCUAGGAUUGUUAAGAUUUCAGGUAAAGUUAGUAAUUUUAAGAAUUUGGCUGCCUGGGGAUUGCCAGAGGUCGAAUAAGCAUAUGGGGGUUGUCGGCGGUGGCUUAUGGGGGAUUGUCGGCGGUGGCUUAUGGGGUAGAGGACAAAUGAGAUUGAGGAAGUUAGAUAAAUUGAGGCCACUGCCAAGUCUAGGAACGAAACAAUGGAGCAGAUGGAUCAGAGGAACUACGAGAUUUUACAGUUGGAUGUCACCGAGAUUUCAUAGUUGGAUGUCACCAUUCCUUAUCUAAUGUGUGAGGAAUUGCCAUGGAAGGUGAGCCACCGGCCUGCAAGACCUCCCUAAUUGAGGUACAAUAUGUUCUUUGUGGGGUUUACCAUUUGACGAUGCCAAUGGAUUAGUUUAGGAUUCUGGAAUCACUUAUCUGGAUUUUGCUUUGGGUACAAUUUCUUAAUCUGCUGGGUUUGCUAUUUGGGGAUGCUACUUGGUUGGUAAAAGGAUUUGGAUUACUUUGAUUCUGCUUAAGGUAAUUACCCUUUGUGUUGACUUUUUCCUUUUGUUUGUGUGUGAAAGCUGUGUUUAAAUAUGCCUGAUAUGUUUGUUGAUAUGUGUUUAAUUAUCCCGACAUGUUUGUUAGCCUGAUAUGUUUGUCGAUAUGUAUGUUGAUAUAUGUUUAAUUAUCCCGAUAUGUUUGUUUAAUUAUGCCUGAUAUGUAUGUUGUCCAAAUAUGUGACUCUUCUGCUUUAUUGACAUAAAUCAUUAAAGAAACUAAUGAUGUGAUUUCUCUACAUGUUGAUCUAUAUCUGUUAGAAGUAACACUUUUCUGUCUAUCUAUUUAGUUGUUUAUUUUUGCUUAAGAUAAAGUAUUGUUUUGUAAAUGGACCUUUGUUCUUGUGUAAUAAUCUUAAGAUGGAUAAGUCAUGGAUGCUUGAGGAUCGAAGAUCACGGGCAUAUGAAAUAGGGGUUGAAGCAUUCUUAAAGUUUGCAGUAGAAAAUACUAAACAGGUUUUGGAAAAGCCCCAGAGUGGCCCACCGAAAAACAACAAGUCUGAACAGGGGGGCUCUAAAGUUGAGAAGAAAAAGGGGUUUAAAGUAUGAGGUAGUAGAUAUCCCAAACAGGGAAAAGGGACUGGGUCAUCAAUAAAGUUCCACAAGUUACAUAGUGUACUCAUGAAGAAAAUCGUGAUGGGCUCCGGUUCUAAGGCCCAUCACGAGAAAUGAUCGUAUUGAGUUGGAACGUGUAGGGAUUGGGGACCCGCACAAGUUUCACGCUUUGAAAGCUCACAACCCUGAUAUUAUGUUCAUAAUGGAAAAAAAGAAAGAAGGAGAUGGAGAUGGUACGGGACUGCAACUCUUUGGGUUUUUCUAGGUGUUUUGUGGUGGAAAGACAGAGGAAAUAUAGUGGAAGAUUUGUAUUAGCUUGGAAGGAUCAUAUUUAGUUGGAUGUGAUUGGACAUUCUAUUGGUCAUACUGAUGCAUUGCUAGUACAGAACAACGUGAAGACAAGGCUCAUUGGCUUCUACGGGAAUCCUACUAUACAGUUAAGACGCUUUUCAUGGGAGCUGCUUAAGAAGGUUGUUAGUAAUGCAGACGGUCCAGUAGCUGUAUUCGGGGAUUUCAAUGAGAUUCUGGAGGUUGAUGGAAAUUUGGUGGAGAAGAUCGGUCGAUCUCCCAGAUUAAUCAUUUCAGAGCUGUGAUUAAUCAGUGUAAUUUAACGGAGGUGAGUUUUGAAGGUCCGGUGUUUACCUGGAGUAAUGGUUCUGUGCUGGAAAGAAUAGAUCGAGCUUUUGUUAAUGGAGCAGCUUUUGGGUUCUUUAACAGGCUGCAUGUGGUUUACGUCGAUUUCGCCCUCUGAUCACUUGCCUAACUUUGUUACAACUAAUGGGGAGGAUUUGGUGCGUAGGUGAAGAACAAGAAGAAAGAUGUUUGAGACUUUUUGGGUUAAAGAAGAGGGGUGCAAAUAUGUGAUAAAGGAGUGUUGGGAGAAUGACAUCUCUGAGGGUUUGGGAGUAAGUUCAAAGUUACUUAAAUCAGUUAAAAUGUAUGGACAGAAUAGUUGGGUGGAGCAAGAAUAAUGUUGGCAACAUUCCCUGACGAAUUCUUGAACUAAAAGAUAAUUUGGCAGAUCUCCCUUUUGAUAGUACUAUGAAUGGCGUCCAAGAAAGGAGGAAAGUGGUGAUGAAGGAGCUGCAUAAAUUGGAGAGGCAUGAAGAGGAGAUUUGCAAGCAAAGAUCUCGGGUUACUUGCCUUAAAGAGGGAGAUAACAACACAGCUCUUCCACAAUUAUGCAAAAAACAGAGGAAGUCGGAAUCGGGUCCCGGGGUGUUUAAUGAUGAGGAUGUAUGGGUGCAGGAUAGCACAGUGAUUAAAGGGAUGUUUGUGGAGUUCUUUACUGAGUUAGUUACCUCAAGAGGAUGUGUUCAUUAUGAAGUGAUUUUAGAAACGGUUCAGUGCUGAGUCACGGAGGACAUGAAUUAGAAGCUUUUGGUUCCAUUUAGAAGAGAAGACAUUGGACGGGCUUUGAAACAGAUGACAGCCUCUAAAUCCCUGGGCUACGAUGGUCUCCCUGCGCUUUUUUACAAACAGUAUCAGGAUAUAGUUGGUGAUGAGGUCUGUGACUUUUGCCUUUGAGUGUUAAAUGAUGGUCGACAAUUGGAGGAUGCUAAUCAUACUUUAAUCACACUCAUUCCUAAGAUUCUUGAGCCGCGGAAGAUGUCGGAUUUCCGGCCUAUCAAUCUGUAUACAGUGCUUUACAAACUGAUCUCAAAAGCCAUAUAUAGUGAAUAGAAUGAAGGGGGUGCUUGAUAAGGUAAUAUCCCCCACUCAAAGUGCUUUUGUGCCAGGACGGCAUAUACAUGACAACGUGAUAGCGGCCUUUGAGACUAUUCACUCUAUUAGGAAAAAUUCUGGGAGUGGUGCUGCAAACUUGGUGUUAAAGUUGGACAUUAGCAAGGCCUAUCAUAGAGUGGAGUGGCUUUUCCUGAAGAAGAUGAUGGCAAAGUUGGGUUUUGCAGAGAGUUGGGUGCAGUUGAUUUUGAGGUGUGUUUGUUAGACUUCCUUCUCUGUUCUUUGGGAGGGACAGGCAACUGGCCUUUUCAAACCUUCAAGGGGAUCCCCUUUCUCCAUAUCUCUUUCUUCUGUGCUCCGAGGGAUUAUCGUGCUUAUUCUCCCAUGCAGAUAUGAUGGGAUUUAUCCAUGGAGUUCAAGCCAGUAGGAAUGCACCAUCAGUUUCACAGUUACUUUUUGCAGAUGAUAGCCUAGUGUUUGCCAAGGCUGAGAUGCAGGAGGUUGUCAAUCUAAAAUAGAUUCUACUAAUCUAUGAAUCUUCUACUAAUAUAUGAAUCUGCAGCAGGUCAAAAAAAUUAAUUUUGACAAAUCGACAUUAGUUUUGGGCCUGGGAUGAGAGCCAAUGUGAAGACGGAUUUGUAGCAGAUUUUGGGGAUACAAAUUGUGCCAUUCCAUGAAAGACAUCUUGGUUUACCAACUGUGGCUGGGAGAAAUAAGAAAGAGAUGUACAAAAAGGUGGAAGACAGGUUAGAUCACCAUCUUGUGGGAUGACAGAGUAAGUUUCUCUCUAAGGCAGGUAAAAUGAUCCUUGUGAAAGCAGUUGCCCAAGCUAUUCCAACGUAUACGAUGAGCAUAUUUCGGCUUCCGAAGGGGAUGCAGAAGGUGUUUCAAUCAAAGAUUAUCAACUUUUGGUGAAAAAAGGGGGAGGGAAAAAGGGUUUGCAUUGGUGUAAGUGGGAUGUGCUCUGUAGAAGUAAAUGGGAAGGGGGGUUGGGAUUUAGAGAUUUGGAGUUGUUCAAUCAAGCGUUGUUGACAAAAACUUAUUGGCGUAUAAUGCAAACUCCACAUUCCUUGCUGGGCAGGUUACUUAGAGCCAAAUAUUUUCAAGAUGUUGAAUGGUUUAAUGGAAGGGUUCGUAGUUGUGCUUCGCUAAUUUGGAGGAGUUUGAUUUGGGUAGAGAGAUUUUGGAAUUGGGUAUGAUGGAGGUGGGGAAUGGUGUGCUGAUCAACGUAAAGUCUGAUAAAUGGCUUCCUUGGCCAACUACUUUCAAGGUCAUCUCUCCUACUUGUUUUUCUGGGAAUUUCAAAGUUGCUGAGCUCAUUAAUUUGGGUCAUGAAUGGAAGGUGAAUUUCAUCCAUAGCCAUUUUUUGGAAUUUGAAGCUAAAGUCAUCCUUUAUAUUCCUUUGCCUAGGAAUGGGGGCACAGAUAAGUUAGUUUGGCAUUAUAACAAGAAUGGGAUGAGAUUCUCGGUGAAGUCUGGCUAGGCCUGGGCUCAGGUCGGGCCGGGCCCGAAAAUCAGUAAAACCGAGACCGAGACCGAGAAUUUCGGUUCGGGCCUGUUCGGGCUUUUUUCGAAAUGAAAACCGACUGAAACCGAACCGGUUCGGGCUUUCGGGCUUUUUUCGGGCCCAAUUUCCAGAAACUAUAUGAAGCUGCUGUAAAUCAUUGUAGAAAAAUGUACGUGCCCUUACCUGACUUAAUCAUAUAGUAUCUAAUAAACCCCCAAACUGGAAAUUGCCAUGGCAAACAGUACAUGAGAAUACAUUACACUUUAAUACUCAGCAAAAACCUUGCCCCCCUCCCUUCCACUUUUCUCUAAGAAACCAACCAACCACCCAAUCCGGGGAUGCGAUGCAUACAAAACAAAACAAAUCAAAAUCCGAACAAUCUGAUGCACGAAAUUCACAAAAAUCGACCGACGAAGAAAUGGACUCUUUCCUCUCCACUGUCGAUCAAAUCUACCAGGUACUUCUUCCUCCUCCUUCACCUCUCAGUUUCUCAACCGUAACAGAAACUAAGCUUUCAUUCUGAUUGAACUCGGAAAUUCUUAGGAUUUCAAGGACGGCGUAGCGGAAAUCCAAUCGGUGAAACCCGCCUGCAAUGCCGAGGCGAAGAAGCGAGAAGCUCUUGAAUUCACCUGCAACAAUCUCAAACAAGGUCCGACAUCAAUUGCUUCCUCUAAUUCCCAAUUUCAUUUUUUUUUUAAUUAAGACCAAAUGAACAGAACCCAGAAUUGCAUUUGUAAUUCCAAGUCUAAAUUCUUCAAAAAAAAAAAAAAAAAAAAGGGCUUCCAAGUAAAACCUUGCUGGGGAGCAGCAAUGGAUGCGGUAUAUGAAAAAGUAAAGAGAAACCCAGAUCGGUAAAUUUACCUCGCUUGUCGACGACGUCGAGGGAGCAGUGGACGAUGUGGUGGAGAGAGAGAGACUGGAGAGAGAGGUUGAGACUGAGAUUUGGGGCUGAGUCACUGAGAUUUGGGGCUGAGAAUCUGAGAUUGAGAUGGUAUCGAGUAUCGACGGCAAAGAGAUUGAGAUGGUAUCGACGGCAAAGAGAGGGAGACUGAGGGAGUAUCGACGAUUCGACGGUAUCGAGUAUCGACGCGACGACGGCAAAGAGAGGGACUGAGGGACUGACGAGUGACGACGGCAAAGAGAGUAAAGGCCUCAGUCCUUUAGGAGUAGGGUUGUUCACUUGUUUAAAUAUAUUUUUUUAUAUUUUAACUUAUUAUUAUAACACCCAAUCAUAGACUGACAUGUGGCAACUGCUACAGUAUUCGGGUCGGUUCGGGCUUUCGGGCCCUGAAAAUAUGGAACCCGAGACCGAACCGAAAAUUUCAAUUCUAAAACCGAACCGAUUCGGGCUUUUUCACUCGGUUCGGGUCGAGUCCUCGGUCUUUCAGGUCCGGACGCCCAGCCCUAAGUCUGGCUAUUGGGUCGCUGAUCAGGAGAAGUUAAGGAAGGAGGGUAGGCUUAUUUCUAGAAGUGGCUCAAGUGGUAAUUAGAAGGGCUGGAGAUUGUUGUGGGGAUUAAAACUACCCAAUAAGAUCAAAGUGUUCCUCUGGAGAGCUUGUAAUAACUUUCUCCCAUGUGCAGCAAACUUGAUUAGAAGAAGGAUAUGUAGGAAUGGGUGGUGUGAAGGUUGUUGUUGCAGUGAGGAAUGUGUGCUCCAUGAAUUAUGGGAAUGUUCUAUGGCCCGUAAGGCAUGGAAGCAUACCGGCCUUCCUGGUGGAUGUUUGUAAGGUGUGGCAUGAGGGAAGUUUCUUUGAUCUUUUUUUUACAUGUUGCUAUGGUGGCUCGAGAGAACGAUCUGGAGUGGUUUGGCGUAGUAGCUUGACAAUUGUGGCAUGAAAGUAAUAAGAGAAAUCAUGGACAACAAGCUUUAUGUGAUGUUGAACUUAUAACAAAGGCUGCUGCAUGGUGGGAUUUCUUUAUUAAUUGUGAUACGUUGGAGUGUGAUAAUGGGGUUGGUAGUGGCAGAGUGGUGGGUAGGGGCAUGAUGCAACCACAAGGGAUGUCUAGUAUGAGACAACACAUAUGGGAGAAGCCAAGGGCGAGGGCCAUUAAACUCAAAAUAGAUGGAGCGUUGGAGGUGAAUAACAGGGUCUAUGGUACGGGAGCUAUCUGUAGAGAUGAAAAUGGUGUUUGUGUUGGGGUUUUGGUGGUGCCAGAUGUGGGCUUUCUGAGUGCAUAAACCUGUGAGUUUAUAGCCUUGGAUUUUUGUCUUCAAGAUGGGUUUACCCAGGUGGACAUUGAAGGAGAUGCUAUAAACAUUUUCUCGGCUUUAAAUUCUGAUCAAGAAGAUCUAAGUCCAGAUGGAGCUCUAGUUGAUGAAGCCAAGGUACUUUUAAGUUUUUUUUUUCCAGUCUUGUAGUUGGGUUUAUAUCCCUAGAGAGUGUAAUAAAGCUGCUCAUAGUGUAGCAAGAGCCGCGCUCACUUUACCUUUUUCUACUUAUUGCUGGAGAAUGGCGCCAGAUUGGCUUCUUCCCAUUCUAGUUGAUGAGUCUUUGUAAUCGAUGUCAAAAAUGGAGUGUGGUACUCUUCCUAACCAGUUGUGGUGGGUUUAAUGAGGCCGCUAUACACUCCUUGAUGUAGUCUUAUUUGAUGAAUGAAUCACGUUUUGAUAAAAAAAAAAAAAAAAAUUCGUUUUACGAUU